rfam:Streptomyces katrae strain NRRL ISP-5550 contig48.3, whole genome shotgun sequence.
GUCGCGCAAGCGCCGUUGGCAGGAGCGGGGGAACCAAGGUAGGCGCCGGGAAAGGCCGUUGAGAGACGGCCCGCGUACCGGCUUGGGGUGAAGACGCGCAACUGCGCGGCCGGGCAACUCAUCCGCCCGAACCCGACAGCUCACCUCGAAGGCGUCGGUGAGGAGAACU